UUUAUAAACUGCAUCUUUAAUAUCUUUUUAGUGUGUGGAACUGUGCUGUCAUCAUAUAGCAUGUAGGAAUUGCUCACGACUUCCCAGGGAGUGCUUUCUUUGCUCACAGAAAGACGACUUGAGCAACAGAAAAGAAGUCUUUGUUAAGAAUCAGGAUAUCAUCCGGGGCGAUUUUGUAAAGGACACAGAAAUAGAUACAACAUGUCAAAAUUGCCAAGUAAAUAAGGGUGAAGUUCAACUUUGCUUAUGUGGCCAUGUCAUUUGCCAGCCCUGCUUCAGAAUGUCUAUCCAAAAGGAGAACAACAUAGAAUGUCCAUUGUAUCAUAUGUGCCAUGCACAUUAUCCAUUAAAUGAGCUGACACAUUUCCAAAGUAAGGGACCUCCUGUGCCAAUAUUCGGUAUGCCUUCAGUUGGACUAACGUGUUAUGCCAGUUGUAUUCUUCAGGUUCUCUGUCACACUGAACUCUUUGUCCAGUUUCUUAAGAGAAACGGUCCGUAUAAAAAGGUAUCAAUGAAUUAAGGACAGAUGAUACAAACAAUUUUUUCUGGCGGAGACUUA